CGGGGAGUAGAGUAGUUGGCAACGCACGUGCUUUGGGAGCACGAGAUCGCGGGUUCGAGUCCCGCCUCCCCGACCA
rnacentral:tRNA from 1 species